UACGGAGGAUGCGAGCGUUAUCCGGAUUUAUUGGGUUUAAAGGGUGCGUAGGCGGAUUUUUAAGUCAGCGGUAAAAUGUCCGGGCUCAACCCGGGCCGGCCGUUGAAACUGGGGAUCUUGAGUGGGCGAGAAGUAUGCGGAAUGCGUGGUGUAGCGGUGAAAUGCAUAGAUAUCACACAGAACACCGAUUGCGAAGGCAUCUCACGAAUCCGCGAUUGACGCUGAUGCACGAAAGCGUGGGUAUCAAACAGG
rnacentral:rRNA from 1 species